AGGGUUCGAUUCUGGCUCAGGAUGAACGCUAGCUACAGGCUUAACACAUGCAAGUCGAGGGGCAGCGAGAAGAAAGCUUGCUUUCUUGUCGGCGACCGGCGCACGGGUGAGUAACGCGUAUCCAACCUUCCCUAUAGUAGGGGAUAGCCCGGCGAAAGUCGGAUUAAUACCCUAUGUUCUUCAUAGAUGACAUCUGAAAUGAAGCAAAGGUUUACCGCUAUAGGAUGGGGAUGCGUCUGAUUAGCUUGUUGGCGGGGUAACGGCCCACCAAGGCAACGAUCAGUAGGGGUUCUGAGAGGAAGGUCCCCCACAUUGGUACUGAGACACGGACCAAACUCCUACGGGAGGCAGCAGUGAGGAAUAUUGGUCAAUGGGCGAGAGCCUGAACCAGCCAAAGUAGCGUGAGGGAUGACGGCCCUACGGGUUGUAAACCUCUUUUGUUUGGGAAUAAAGUGGGCCACGCGUGGCCUUUUGUAUGUACCUUUCGAAUAAGCAUCGGCUAAUUCCGUGCCAGCCGCCGC
rnacentral:rRNA from 1 species